CCUACGGGUGGCUGCAGUGGGGAAUAUUGUACAAUGGGGGCAACCCUGAUCCAGCCAUGCCGCGUGUGUGAAGAAGGCCCUCGGGUUGUAAAGCACUUUCAGUGAGGAAGAACGCCUGGUGGUUAAUACCCAUCAGGAAAGACAUCACUCACAGAAGAAGCACCGGCUAACUCCGUGCCAGCAGCCGCGGUAAUACGGAGGGUGCGAGCGUUAAUCGGAAUUACUGGGCGUAAAGCGCGCGUAGGUGGCUUGAUAAGCCGGUUGUGAAAGCCCCGGGCUCAACCUGGGAACGGCAUCCGGAACUGUCAAGCUAGAGUGCAGGAGAGGAAGGUAGAAUUCCCGGUGUUGCGGUGAAAUGCGUAGAGAUCGGGAGGAAUACCAGUGGCGAAGGCGGCCUUCUGGACUGACACUGACACUGAGGUGCGAAAGCGUGGGUAGCAAACAGGAUUAGAUACCCCUGUAGUC
rnacentral:rRNA from 1 species